rnacentral:lncRNA from 1 species
GUGAAAGGGAUGACAAACUUAAAAAAGAUUUUUUUCCCAAUUGACUUCAAAGUUCAUAGUAUCUGUUUCUUGAAACAACUAGGCAAUAUAGGAUAUAAAGAGCAGGACAUGGAAUAAGGAAAACUUGAGGACAUAUGCUGCCUCAGAAACUUAUUAGCUGGUAUAUUCCAAAGGGCUAAAGUUCAUGUUUGAAAACUUAUGGGAAAGCAAUUCCACUAGUAAUUGAAUUCUUGAUGCCAGUAUCAAAGGAUAAAACAAAACAGAAAUCUUUUGCUCUUCAACUUCUAUCUUUUUCAAUUCAAUCAUAUUGCAACAAAUUUUAAUCUAAUCUAAUCUAAUUCAAAUCAUUCUAUCCAAUUCUAUUCCAUCCCAUCCCAUCCUAUCCUAUCCUAUCCUAUCCUAUCCUAUCCUAUCCUAUCCUAUCCUAUCCUAUCCUAUCCUAUCCUAUCCCAUCCUAUCCUACCCUACCCUAUCCUAUCCCAUCCCAUCCUAACCUAUCCUACCUACUCUAUUCUAUCCUGUCCUGUCCUGUCCUAUGCUAUGCUUUCCUAUCCUAUGUUAUCCCAUCCCAUCCUAUCGCAUCCUAUCCCACCCUAUCCUGUCGCUAUCCUAUCCUAUCCUAUCCUAUCCUAUCCUAUCCUAUCCCCUCCCCUCUCCUCCCCUCAUUUACUCUCGCCUCCUCUCCUCUUCUUUCAUCUCCUCUCCUCUCCCAUCCCAUCGCAUCCCAUCCCAUCCCAUCCCAUCCUAUCCUAGCCCCUAACGUCCUCUCGCCGCCGAUCUCCUCCCCUCCUCNNNNNNNNNNNNNNNNNNNNNNNNNNNNNNNNNNNNNUCCUAUCCUAUCCUAUCCUAUCCUAUCCUAUCCUAUCCUAUCCUAUCCUAUCCUAUCCUAUCCUAUCUUAUCCUAUCCUAUCCUAUCCUAUCCUAUCCUAUCCUAUCCUAUCCUAUCCUAUCCUAUCCUACCAUACUCUGCUCUCUACCCUGCCCUAUCCUACUCAAUCCUGUAUUAUCUA